AUUGAACGCUGGCGGCAUGCUUUACACAUGCAAGUCGAACGGUAACAGGCCUUCGGGCGCUGACGAGUGGCGAACGGGUGAGUAAUGCAUCGGAACGUGCCCAGAGGUGGGGAUAACGUAGCGAAAGCUGUGCUAAUACCGCAUACGAUCUAUGGAUGAAAGCGGGGGACUCGCAAGAGCCUCGCGCGAUUGGAGCGGCCGAUAUCAGAUUAGGUAGUUGGUGGGGUAAAGGCUCACCAAGCCAACGAUCUGUAGCUGGUCUGAGAGGACGACCAGCCACACUGGAACUGAGACACGGUCCAGACUCCUACGGGAGGCAGCAGUGGGGAAUUUUGGACAAUGGACGCAAGUCUGAUCCAGCCAUUCCGCGUGCAGGAUGAAGGCCCUCGGGUUGUAAACUGCUUUUGUACGGAACGAAAAGGUUUCUAUUAAUACUAGGAGCUCAUGACGGUACCGUAAGAAUAAGCACCGGCUAACUACGUG
rnacentral:rRNA from 1 species